UCAUAAAGGGCCAAGAAAUUACAUCAUCAUAGAUCAAGUGGGGUUCCUGUGAAGAUACCCUGAAAAAAGUGACUUCAUUUUGCGAACAAUCUUCCAGGAAUCAACUCAGAUGAUAAUCUUUUAAACACAUCCAAAUCAAGCUUACCUAUGUCUUUGGCCCGUGAAGCUAAAGGUCGCCUCCACUGGGUGACAAACUUGUGCUGCAGCCUCACCCCAGACACCGUCAGAGAAAAUGUAUGUAAUGCAAGAGCACCUUCCCUGGUUCCACACUCCCUGGGCUGCUAAUAGCUCAUUUACCACUUCCCCCCUCAAUUCCUUUUCUACAGAUGACUCAAAAUGCUUCCCGGGGGCAUAUCUGGGAAGGUAGUGGAGAAAGAAAGAAAAUCUGAUUUAAAUGUCAAUUUCAGAACAAGGCUCUACUGCCUUUGAAGAAAAAACAAUGGGCUCUUAAGGGGUUUUAUCUUAACAACUUAACACUUGGUGUUCCAGAGACUCCUAGGUCAUCAAGUCGGAUUGGUGAAUUCCCAGAUGUCCCAACCUCAAUCAAGGAGCCACUGAUACAGUCCACCAAGGGGGUAGCUACCUCUUCUGUGGACAGAAAGUUCUAUUUUGAGCAAGGGAUCAUAAUGGUGGGUUGCAGUGAGAUUAAAAGAGAUACACAAAGAGGCUAGCUGUGUAUCUGGAACACAGAAGGGUCAAUAACUGGUCUAUUAUUAUCAAUACAAAUAUUUGAUUUUUUUCCCAUUCUGGACAAGUUAUAUAUGGGAUCACACAAUUUUCUCUAACUUCAUAGAGUAAUAUGAUCGACAUUAAUAAAAUUAUG